ensembl:lncRNA
GGAACAGCCCUGGUUUUCAGCCCUGUGAUGUGAGUGACAGAACAAGACUCAUUGUCCCUGCCUCUCCAGAACGUGAGCAGUUUUUACACUGUGAAAUUGGAUGUAACUUCUGUUCUUCUCUUGUGCAUUUGGAGACAUCUUGGUAUGUGCUAGUAUAUCUGCAUCAAGCAAGAAAAAUGGGAGCACUGGGGAUAUUUUCGGCCUUCAUGUUUGAAUAAGAAGUCAGAUGAAUUGCCAGGCAUAUGUAUGUGGAUUAUGGAUACAGAAGAAAAUUCCCAUUGUAUAAAGAAGAAUAUAUGCUGAGCACUGAAGCAGAGAAAAUGAGAGGUGUUUCUACCAAAUGAAAUAAAUAAAGUAACCAUACACCUCUAAGAAACUUGUAGGUGUUUGAGACCUUGUGAUAAAGCUACCACAUUAAGGCAGAAUCAUUGAAUCCUUAGAGUUGGAAGGGAUCUCUGAAGGCCAUAUAGUCCAAUUCCCCUGCAAUGACCAGGGAUACCACAGCCACAUCAGAUUGCCCAGGGCCUGAUCCAGCCUCGCCUGGAAAGUCUCCAGGGAUUGGGUAUCAACGACAACACUAGAUGCUAUAAAACGUCAGUGUUACAGAAACAAAAGUUUGAAAUCUGUAACAUCCCACACAUGAAAGGAGGAAAAGUGACAAGAUUUGCAAAUCCCCCAUGAGGUUAAGGUGAAAUGACACUCAAGUGCCAGUCUGAGAAACAUUUCAUCCACUUCUGACUUAGUGUCAUCUCAAACCAGCGUUGGCUUCUGUGACCAGGUGGAGCAGUUAAGCAAAGAUCUGUAUCUCCUUGGGAACUGGAAGAAGUAAUGAGGAAAGACAGAGUCAUGAGCUGGAUAAGAAAGUAUUUCAGUGUUCAAAGAAUACGACUGUCAAUGGACAUCAAGAGCCAUUACAUCAGCCAGCACCAAUUCUGUGAAAUCAGACCAUGGAAGCAGAAGGAGGUCAAUUUCUUCAUCCUUGGCAUCCUACCAGUACCUUUCCAAGCUACUUAUCUUCCAUUUUGCCUACGAGGAGUGUCCUUGCCACAUGCUUUUAGACUGACUAUGUUCUUGCCUGCACCUGGUCAGUGCAGUGAAUAGGGGCACUGGUGGAUGCUUUCCUAGGCUGAGCUUAGUUCAGUGUUUCCCUUAGUGUGCUGGAGGGGAACAGAAUUUUUUCGUGGAAAAGCAUCUGGAGAUUCCUCUCAAAUAAACAUGGUUGGAAAUUACAAAUUUUAACUGUUGGGUGGUGAUUAGAGGGGUGAAAAGAGCAUAUUACUAAAAGAAUGAAAUCUAAGAAAGGUACUUGUGCUUACUCCUUUAACUUACUACUUUUACUCAGCUAAAUUUUCAGUUAUUUCAGGUGCUGAAGCUGUGUAAAAUGGGCUUCAUAAACAAAGCUGAAGCUCCUGCUUGAUUUGAUUACUAGGCAUACUCACUUAGUGGUUUGACCAGUUGAUGUCAUUCAAUACAGUCAUUAAGAUACAGACUUAAUUUAAAUUGUAAAUAUUAUUUGACAAUUGUGUUGGUUAAUUUCUAAUAGAGUAAUAUAAUUCGUAGCCAUUUAGCUUUACCUAUACUAUUGUAUAUUUUUCACUAGCACUAAUAAUGCUCAUGACAGUAAGAAGGUUUCACCAUGAUUUUAAGUAAAUAAUAUAAUCAGAAAGGGCUUAAAAAGGUAGAUAGGUGAGAUGAUUUACUUAAGAGAUCUUUGUUUUUCAUCAGGGAAGCUUUCUGGCCUGAAGACAGGACGUCUUAAAGGUACAGGACAGAAGCCUUAACCUCUCUUUCACAUUCUCUAUUCAAAGAUGUUAAGUCUCUCACGCUUAGGAACACUCUGAGAAUGAAAACAUCUCCAUGUCCUGAAUUUAGUAUUUACACUAGAAAAUAGCAGCCUGUCUUUUCUAUAAAGGAGCAAUAAAGAAGUCUACAAACAGUUCAUCGGUCAGUGCAAUGUUAAUUUCUUAUUUAAAACAAAGUCCAAAGGAGAUGACUAAUUAGAUCUUGACAUAUAUUUUAAAAAAAAUUCAAAGAACCAUGUAUGUAUUACUAAAAAGUUUAAUAAUCAUUUUAUAUAUUCUCACUCAUUAACAAAAAUAGUUGUGCCUUCUUCUGAAUAGUUGCAGGACAUAUCUGUGGAAGCUGGGAAUGGGUAAACCAGAAUUUAUUUAGGUUUUGACUGAACACAGAAUUUGCUUAUGCAUCUGUAUGCAUCUUGCUCUGUUUGUACUACUGCACUUUAAAGGUCUAAUACUCUACAGAUUCAUCCCUUGGUAUUCACAUGGCAAAGUGUAGUUUCUAUUUGCACCUGAAUAAAUGUGAGACAGAGAGCUGAUUAUUUCUGACAGUCAGUAAAGUGAGAAGCAACCAUACUGACAGAAAUCCACGUGCAGUGCUAAGAACUGAAAAGGAGCAAAAUGUAGUCUGCCUGACUCCAUUAUAAAAGGAUAGUCAGUCAAGUUACUUUUACUGUAUGAUAAGCAAAGAGUACUAAAUUACAAUAUUAUCAAAUAGACACGUAAUCAAAUAUUUCAAACAAAUGCUCGUAACAAAUAAAAAUUACCUUGCUAAACUACACUUUAAAAGUGUACAUUCAACUGUUCCAUGAAGUUACGGUGAAAGAUACCACUUAAUACAGGAUAUCUGUUUCAUUCUAAUGAUGUUGUUUUAAAGCAAUAAAAAUAAAAGUAUCUUUCUACUUCUGCACACAUAUUCCUCUGUUUAUGGUAGCUUGUUUAAAAGGAUAUAUAAAUGAAAAGUUUAUUCUCUUAUCAGUCGCGUGUUUUGCAUUUAUGGGAAAUGCUUCUUCUCAGUACAGUAUUACCAACCAUGGCAAUUUUGAAACACUGAGAAAACGUAGGUAAAAACCAGAAUCUUUGCUUGGACAUAGAAAAAAUAUCCAAAAAUACAUAAAUACAAAAAAAAAAAAAAAAAAAAAAAAGGUGAAAUGAAAUCCAUGCAAUAACUUAUAAUGCAUUUUAACCACAGGAAUCAUUCCAUCAUGUAUUAAUUAUGGUCUGCAGAUAAAAUCAUAAUCGUUAUGUAAUGAAAAAUGUGAAUAAAUUACUUUUAAUAUUAUGUGCAGUAGAAAUUCAGCAAAAGCCAUGCAGUUUUUAUAUUGGCAUUUCUAGAUAUCAG